GCUGGGAGCAGUUGUGUCUCCUCAGGCACCGCCGAGGCUUCGGCCGGGACGCCCGGCUCAGCGUCUCUGCUGACAGGAACUCAGUCUCCUUAGGACUCGCUGGGCUUUCGGUUUCAGGACGACGCAGGGCUGUGUCCACGCUGACGGAAGCUGGGUUUCCUGAGGACCCAGGCGACGCCGGGAGGAAAGGGGGACACGGGUUUGAGCCCUGGGCCGGGAGGAUCCCACGUGCUGCGGAGCAACUAAGCCUGUGCGCCACAACUACUGAGCCUGCGCUCUAGAGCCCGCGUGCCACAACUGCUGAGCCCGCGCGUCACAACUACUGAAGCCCGCGUGCCUAGAGCCCGUGCUCCGCAACAAGCGAAGCCACCGCAAUGAGAAGCCCACGCACCGCAACAAAGAGUAGCCCUCACUCGCCGCAACUAGAGAAAGCCUGUGCACAGCAACGAAGACCCAUCGUAGCCAAUAAAUAAAUAAAUAAAUAAAUAAAAUAAAAUUUUAUGUUCACACAAA